rnacentral:rRNA from 1 species
GUGUCAGCCGCCGCGGUAACACGUAGGUGUCGAGCGUUAUCCGGAAUUACUGGGCGUAAAGCGCACGCAGGCGGCACGACAAGUCUCGUGUGAAAGCUCUCGGCUCAACCGGGAGAGGUCGCGGGAAACUGUCGUGCUUGAGGCAGGGAGAGGGGCGUGGAAUUCCCGGUGUAGCGGUGGAAUGCGUAGAUAUCGGGAGGAACACCAGUGGCGAAGGCGGCGCCCUGGCCCUGUCCUGACGCUCAGGUGCGAAAGCGUGGGGAGCGAACGGGAUUAGAUACCCCGGUAGUCCACGCUGUAAACGAUGCGAACUAGGUGUGGGCAGUAUUGACCCUGUCCGUGCCGUAGCUAACGCGCUAAGUUCGCCGCCUGGGGAGUACGGCCGCAAGGCUAAAACUUAAAGGAAUUGACGGGG